rnacentral:pre_miRNA from 1 species
AGAUUUCUGAAUCCGUCCUGAGGUUUUGUCAAACACCAACCCAUUAGGGCUGAUCAGACUUCCAAGAUAAGUGAAGUU